GGUUUCUCUUCAGAUUGUAUAAAUCUUUUUCCUUUUACUAAAGAUUUACGUGGAAAAGAAAGACACAAUCAUUUUUGGCCUAAUAAUAUAAGAAG
ensembl:snRNA U5 U5 spliceosomal RNA